GAGUUGAAACAAGGAAAAUAGCAUGUAAAGGCCAGCAUGGAAUAUCUGUUCUUUGUCAUAGCAUUUUACAUGUGAAGUCCUGACCAGGUGAGGAGAAUGGUGUUUGGAAGAAGUGACCUACACUCAAGGUAACUUAAGCACAUUUGAAAAUGUGCUUUUACAGGCUUAGUUUUGCCACUGCUCAUCUUCUGAACUACAAGCACUCAGUAUGAACCAGAACGUGUUGAUUCAAGGCUUGGUUAUCUAUCUCAUGCAGAAAUUUAGUUCUUAGUCCUAACUGAAAGACUUGACAAUUUAUCAAAAAUGGAAUCCAUUAAAGAAAAAAAAAAAAAAAAAAGCCAUUGAUUGAUAAAAGUAAAGUAGAACAAUAAAUAGAAUGUACAUAUUCAGACUGGAAUCUGAAUUGUACAUUUAUUUAUUUCUAUUUAUGGCAAAAGAUGUGGGGUUUAUCAUUUUUAUUGCUAUAAAACCCCAUAUCAUAAAGCAACAUAUCAUCAACUUAUCAGAUUUAUUGGGAUACAAAACAUCCUUCAUGGAGCAGGGCCACAGGGAGCCCUGAGGUCUGUGCUGACAGUGCUUUAGCUGCUAUCAUAAAUAUUUUGACAGUUGAGUCAUAGGGAAAUUUCUUGUUUACAGGGAAUUUUAGGAACUUGAGCUGAAGGUCUUCACCAUCUAUUUAGCACACCUUGGGGCACAAAACUGAUCACAUAGUGAAACUCAGAGCACAUUUCAGGCUCAAGUUUAAUCACUGUACUUUGCUUGCAGCUGCAAGGCAAAGCUGAUUAUUUUUUUAAUUUUUGAAAAUUUAAACCAAAAACUGGGGGAAAAAAGUAACUGCGCAUAAUCAGUGCCAAGUAGGUGUGAUGCCAGCUGGUCUAUUCAAUUUCACUCAAGCAAUUCAGUAAUCACUGCUUAAUUAAAGAAUGAUGUUGCAGGGGAAAUUGUAGGAUCACUUGGUUGAUCUUGUAUGCAGCUUACAUGCACUAUUAAAGAUUUUUCUGUUCCUCCUGGUUUUAAUGUGCCAAGAAGCUCCCCAAAGCUUCUCUUUGAAGAAAUUCCAUUUUUCUUAUUAAAAGUAUUCCUUCCUGGUCAUAUAAUAGCAAAAAUAGGAUCUGGCUUAUUUCACCAAAAGACUGCAUUGCAAUUAUCUUGAAAUUUUCCUUUGGAAUUGUUAUUCCAUGAAUAAUUAUUUCAAAGGCAUAAUUUUUAUAAAUUGUAAAAUAAGAGGUUAAAGGUUGUUUGAAACUCACAAUUUUCCGGCUACUUUUGGGAAGAGAAACAAAUAAUCGAAUUUAAAAGCUGUUUUUCUUCACUCUGUGUAUCAAAUGAAGUACUGUUGGAACAAACCCUUGGCAGCAGAACACCAGAUUUAAAAGUGCAUGUUCGCUAUUUUCAUUUAGCCAGAUGUUUGAAAAUAAAGAAAAAGGGAGGUAAAGAAAAAAAAAAGGAGGUAAAGAAAAAGGGAGGUAAAGAAGAAAAAGGGAGGUAAAGAAAAAAGGAGGUAAAGAAGAAAAAAGAAGGUAGAAAAAGGGAGGUAAAGAAGAAAAAGGGAGGUAAAGAAGAAAAAGGGAGAUAAAGAAGAAAAAAAGGAGGUAAAGAAGAAAAAAGAAGGUAAAGAAGAAAAAGGGAGGUAAAGAA